GUGCUCACUCGUGGCACAUAUACUAAAAAUAGAACGAUACAGAGAAGAUUAGCAUGGCCCCUCUGCGAGGAGGACAUCCUAAAAGGAAGAUAUAAUUAUCCUCAUA
rfam:Canis lupus familiaris chromosome 38, whole genome shotgun sequence.